rnacentral:rRNA from 1 species
GACGAACGCUGGCGGCGUGCUUAACACAUGCAAGUCGAACGGAAAGGCCCUUCGGGGUACUCGAGUGGCGAACGGGUGAGUAACACGUGGGUGAUCUGCCCUGCACUUUGGGAUAAGCCUGGGAAACUGGGUCUAAUAUCGAAUAGGACCACGCUCUUCAUGGGGUGUGGUGGAAAGCUUUUGCGGUGUGGGAUGGGCCCGCGGCCGAUCAGCUUGUUGGUGGGGUAAUGGCCUACCAAGGCGACGACGGGUGGCCGGCCUGAGAGGGUGACCGGCCACACUGGGGCUGCGAUACGGCCCAGACUCCUACGGGAGGCAGCGGUGGGAAAUAUUGCACAAUGGGCGCAAGCCUGAUGCAGCGACGCCGCGUGAGGGAUGACGGCCUUCGGGUUGUAAACCUCUUUCAGUACCGACGAAGCGCAAGUGACGGUAGGUACAGAAGAAGGACCGGCCAACUACGUGCCAGCCGCCGCAGUAAUAC